CAAUUUAAACAACGAAGAGUUUGAUCCUGGCUCAGGAUGAACGCUAGCGACAGGCUUAACACAUGCAAGUCGAGGGGCAGCACAGGUAGCAAUACCGGGUGGCGACCGGCGCACGGGUGAGUAACGCGUAUGCAACUUACCUAUCAGAGGGGGAUAACCCGGCGAAAGUCGGACUAAUACCGCAUGAAGCAGGGGCCCCGCAUGGGGAUAUUUGCUAAAGAUUCAUCGCUGAUAGAUAGGCAUGCGUUCCAUUAGGCAGUUGGCGGGGUAACGGCCCACCAAACCGACGAUGGAUAGGGGUUCUGAGAGGAAGGUCCCCCACAUUGGUACUGAGACACGGACCAAACUCCUACGGGAGGCAGCAGUGAGGAAUAUUGGUCAAUGGCCGAGAGGCUGAACCAGCCAAGUCGCGUGAGGGAUGAAGGUUCUAUGGAUCGUAAACCUCUUUUAUAAGGGAAUAAAGUGCGGGACGUGUCCCGUUUUGUAUGUACCUUAUGAAUAAGGAUCGGCUAACUCCGUGCCAGCAGCCGCGGUAAUACGGAGGAUCCGAGCGUUAUCCGGAUUUAUUGGGUUUAAAGGGUGCGUAGGCGGCCUUUUAAGUCAGCGGUGAAAGUCUGUGGCUCAACCAUAGAAUUGCCGUUGAAACUGGGGGGCUUGAGUAUGUUUGAGGCAGGCGGAAUGCGUGGUGUAGCGGUGAAAUGCAUAGAUAUCACGCAGAACCCCGAUUGCGAAGGCAGCCUGCCAAGCCAUGACUGACGCUGAUGCACGAAAGCGUGGGGAUCAAACAGGAUUAGAUACCCUGGUAGUCCACGCAGUAAACGAUGAUCACUAGCUGUUUGCGAUACACUGUAAGCGGCACAGCGAAAGCGUUAAGUGAUCCACCUGGGGAGUACGCCGGCAACGGUGAAACUCAAAGGAAUUGACGGGGGCCCGCACAAGCGGAGGAACAUGUGGUUUAAUUCGAUGAUACGCGAGGAACCUUACCCGGGUUUGAACGCAUUCGGACCGAGGUGGAAACACCUUUUCUAGCAAUAGCCGUUUGCGAGGUGCUGCAUGGUUGUCGUCAGCUCGUGCCGUGAGGUGUCGGCUUAAGUGCCAUAACGAGCGCAACCCUUGCCACUAGUUACUAACAGGUGAUGCUGAGGACUCUGGUGGGACUGCCAGCGUAAGCUGCGAGGAAGGCGGGGAUGACGUCAAAUCAGCACGGCCCUUACAUCCGGGGCGACACACGUGUUACAAUGGCGUGGACAAAGGGAGGCCACCUGGCGACAGGGAGCGAAUCCCCAAACCACGUCUCAGUUCGGAUCGGAGUCUGCAACCCGACUCCGUGAAGCUGGAUUCGCUAGUAAUCGCGCAUCAGCCAUGGCGCGGUGAAUACGUUCCCGGGCCUUGUACACACCGCCCGUCAAGCCAUGGGAGCCGGGGGUACCUGAAGUCCGUAACCGCGAGGAUCGGCCUAGGGUAAAACUGGUGACUGGGGCUAAGUCGUAACAAGGUAGCCGUACCGGAAGGUGCGGCUGGAACACCUCCUUUCU
rnacentral:rRNA from 1 species